rnacentral:pre_miRNA from 1 species
AUAUUGUCCUGUCACAGCAGUAUUGUAACACUAUAUUAUAGCUUACUGCUGGGUCGGGGCAUUAACA